rnacentral:tRNA from 1 species
CCCGCCGUAGUUCAGAGGUAGAACGCCCGGCUCUUCCGGGUGGGCGCCGGUUCGAGCCCGGCCGGCGGUGCCA